rnacentral:lncRNA from 1 species
CCAUACCUCAAGGGUUCUCGUUUAUCGAGGGUUUUGGGCUGGUGGUCUCGGCAGCCAGUUCUGGUGACUCAGUCCACAGCUAUAGUUCCAGUAAGAACUAAAAAACGUUUCACACCUCCUAUUUAUCAACCUAAAUUUAAAACAGAAAAGGAGUUUAUGCAACAUGCCCGGAAAGCAGGAUUGGUUAUUCCUCCAGAAAAAUCGGACCGUUCCAUACAUCUGGCCUGUACAGAAUCCGGAGGAUAAAAGACUAUGAUGCCAACUUUAAAAUAAAGGACUUCCCUGAAAAAGCUAAGGAUAUCUUUAUUGAAGCUCACCUUUGUCUAAACAAGUCCAUAUAAAGAGCUAUACGCUUGGGAGUACAGUGGCUCACACCUGCCAUCUCAGCAUUUUCAGAGGCCAAGUGGGGAAUUGCUUGAUACCAGGAGUUCAAGACCAGCCUGAGCAACACAGGGAGACCACAUCUCUACAAAAGAUUAUUUUUAAAAAUUAGCUGGGCUGAGUGGCAUGUGCCUGUGAUCCCAGCUACUUGGGAAGCUGAGGUGGAAGGAUUAUUUGAGCCCAGGAGGUCUAGGCUGCAGUGUGCAAUGAUUCAGCCAUUGCACUCCAGCCUAGAUGACAGAGCAAGACCCAGUCUCAAAAAAAAGAUUAUGAAUGGCUAGUAAGCAUGUGAAAAUAUGCUUGACAUCAUUACUCAUUAAGGAAAUGCAAAACUAAAACCACAGUGAAAUACCAUUUCAC